AUGUCUAGUUUUUCUUCACGUGCUCACCACAUGUUUAUCUCCAAAACACUUGAAUUUUAUGAAAUGGCCAACAAGUUGAAGCAAAUUGCUAGAUUAAUCACCACAGAGGUUGCUCCACCGAGGUUUGUGCCUGUGACACGCAUUCCAAUGAAGAAAAUUUUGGAUACUAUUGUUGAGGAAGAGAAUAAUGAUUUUGGUGGUGACAUGACAAAGACUUUUCAUCAUCAACAACAACAACUUUGA